rnacentral:rRNA from 1 species
UACAGAGGUCUCAAGCGUUGUUCGGAUUCAUUGGGCGUAAAGGGUGCGUAGGUGGUGGGGUAAGUCGGAUGUGAAAUCCCGGGGCUCAACCCCGGAACUGCAUUCGAUACUGCCUUGCUCGAGUACUGGAGAGGAGACUGGAAUUUACGGUGUAGCAGUGAAAUGCGUAGAUAUCGUAAGGAAGACCAGUGGCGAAGGCGAGUCUCUGGACAGUUCCUGACACUGAGGCACGAAGGCCAGGGGAGCAAACGGG